CGGAGGAUCCAAGCGUUAUCCGGAAUCAUUGGGUUUAAAGGGUCCGUAGGCGGUUUGGUAAGUCAGUGGUGAAAUCCCUUCGCUCAACGGAGGAACGGCCAUUGAUACUGCCAGACUUGAAUUACUGGGAAGUAACUAGAAUAUGUAGUGUAGCGGUGAAAUGCUUAGAUAUUACAUGGAAUACCAAUUGCGAAGGCAGGUUACUACCGGUUUAUUGACGCUGAUGGACGAAAGCGUGGGGAGCGAACAGGAUUAGAUACCCUGGUAGUCCACGCCGUAAACGAUGGAUACUAGCUGUUGGGCGCAAGUUCAGUGGCUAAGCGAAAGUGAUAAGUAUCCCACCUGGGGAGUACGAACGCAAGUUUG
rnacentral:rRNA from 1 species